GGGGAGGUGAUGAUAAUUUCCCCAGAUGAUCGAAAUUGAUUAUACUGAGCGAUUUUAUGUUUCUCUCUUUCAGAGAGUUUCCAAGCCUAUUUUUUCUGAUCCCU
rnacentral:snoRNA from 1 species